UGUUGGAAAUUGCCUUGCUGAUGAUUGGCUCUCUCCUGGAUCAACUGUAACAGCAUCUGAGUAUUUGCAUUGGUAGCUGCCAUCAUCGCCUGCCAGGCCUCUGCAGGAGGAGGCGGCGGCGGUGGCGGAGGAGGAGGUGGAGGAGGCAUAUCCUCACGCGCUGGGGUCUGACGAGUUGGUGGAGCCAUCCUGAAGAUGGACAGCAAAUUAGUCCACAGAAUAUUUGAACAUAAGCUGAAUCAAAAGACAGAAUAUCUGAAUAGAACUUAGCAUUGCACUCGAACAACAUAGCAAGAGUGCAUUCUCAAAGCAUCAGACGACAAAAUUCCGACAAGGCCACAGCAAACAAGUGUGAGCUAGUACUGCUCGGAACGAACGUAUGAUCAAGAUUUCCCAAACCUCAAUCAAGCGCCUGUAGGAAGAUAGCCCUAUAAGAUACUACCAGAUAUCCCACCUGU
rnacentral:lncRNA from 1 species